UACGUAGGGUGCGAGCGUUAAUCGGAAUUACUGGGCGUAAAGCGUGCGCAGGCGGUCUGUUAAGACCGAUGUGAAAUCCCCGGGCUUAACCUGGGAACUGCAUUGGUGACUGGCAGGCUUUGAGUGUGGCAGAGGGAGGUAGAAUUCCACGUGUAGCAGUGAAAUGCGUAAAGAUGUGGAGGAAUACCGAUGGCGAAGGCAGCCUCCUGGGCCAACACUGACGCUCAUGCACGAAAGCGUGGGGAGCAAACAGG
rnacentral:rRNA from 1 species